GAUGAACGCUGGCGGCAUGCCUAAUACAUGCAAGUCGAACGGAGCACUUCGGUGCUUAGUGGCGAACGGGUGAGUAACACGUAGGUAACAUACUUAUAAGCCGAGGAUAACGGUUGGAAACGACUGCUAAGACUGGAUAGGAAUAUUGGGGGCAUCCCUGAUAUUUUAAAGGACCACAGGUACACUUAUAAAAUGACCUGCGGCGCAUUAGCUAGUUGGUAAGGUAGCGGCUUACCAAGGCGAUGAUGCGUAGCCGGACUGAGAGGUUGAACGGCCACAUUGGGACUGAGACACGGCCCAGACUCCUACGGGAGGCAGCAGUAGGGAAUUUUCGGCAAUGGGGGGAACCCUGACCGAGCAAUGCCGCGUGAAUGAAGAAAUACUUCGGUAUGUAAAGUUCUUUUAUUUGGGAAGAGCGGCUAGUGGAAAAGCUAGAGUGACGGUACCAAAUGAAUAAGCCCCGGCUAACUAUGUGCCAGCAGCCGCGGUAAUACAUAGGGGGCAAGCGUUAUCCGGAAUUAUUGGGCGUAAAGGGUGCGUAGGCGGUUAGUAAAGUUUAAGGUAUAAGCUCAUGGCUCAACCAUGGGAGGCUUUAGAAACUGGCUAACUUGAGUGCAGUAGAGGCAAGUGGAAUUCCAUGUGUAGCGGUAAAAUGCGUAAAUAUAUGGAGGAACACCAGUAGCGAAGGCGGCUUGCUGGGCUGUAACUGACGCUGAGGCACGAAAGCGUGGGGAGCAAA
rnacentral:rRNA from 1 species